rnacentral:rRNA from 1 species
GAACAGGAUUAGAUACCCUGGUAGUCCACGCCGUAAACGAUGAGUGCUAAGUGUUAGAGGGUUUCCGCCCUUUAGUGCUGCAGCUAACGCAUUAAGCACUCCGCCUGGGGAGUACGGUCGCAAGACUGAAACUCAAAGGAAUUGACGGGGGCCCGCACAAGCGGUGGAGCAUGUGGUUUAAUUCGAAGCAACGCGAAGAACCUUACCAGGUCUUGACAUCCUCUGACAACUCUAGAGAUAGAGCGUUCCCCUUCGGGGGACAGAGUGACAGGUGGUGCAUGGUUGUCGUCAGCUCGUGUCGUGAGAUGUUGGGUUAAGUCCCGCAACGAGCGCAACCCUUGAUCUUAGUUGCCAGCAUUUAGUUGGGCACUCUAAGGUGACUGCCGGUGACAAACCGGAGGAAGGUGGGGAUGACGU